CGUGGGUGACCUGCCUUCGAGUGGGGGAUAACGUCCCGAAAGGGACGCUAAUACCGCAUGACAUCCUGCCUUUGGAAAGGCGGAGAUCAAAGCCGGGGAUCGCAAGACCUGGCGCUUGAAGAGGGGCCCGCGCCUGAUUAGCUAGUUGGUAGGGUAACGGCCUACCAAGGCGACGAUCAGUAUCCGGCCUGAGAGGGCGGACGGACACACUGGGACUGAGACACGGCCCAGACUCCUACGGGAGGCAGCAGUGGGGAAUUGUUCGCAAUGGGCGCAAGCCUGACGACGCAACGCCGCGUGGAGGACGAAGAUCUUCGGGUCGUAAACUCCUGUCGAGCGGGACGAACACCCACCCGGUGAACAAUCGGGAGGGCUGACGGUACCGCUAAAGGAAGCCCCGGCUAACUCCGUGCCAGCAGCCGCGGUAAUACGGGGGGGGCAAGCGUUGUUCGGAAUUACUGGGCGUAAAGGGCUCGUAGGCGGCCAACUAAGUCCGACGUGAAAUCCCCAGGCUUAACCUGGGAACUGCGUCGGAUACUGGAUGGCUUGAAUUCGGGAGAGGGAUGCAGAAUUCCAGGUGUAGCGGUGAAAUGCGUAGAUAUCUGGAGGAAUACCGGUGGC
rnacentral:rRNA from 1 species